rfam:TPA: Bos taurus chromosome 14, whole genome shotgun sequence.
CCCUGGUGGCUCAGAGGGUAAAGCACCUGCCUGCAGUGCGGAAGACCCAGGUUCGAUUCCUGGAUCAGGAA